UGUAGGCACCCUUCCUUGCUGAGUCACUCCCUGUGGUAUUGAUCUUUUACAGCUGCCUGACCUCACCUCUGGAUCGUGUUCUGGACCUGAAUUGAUUUCCUGUGCUUGACCCUGGUUUGUUUGGACUGCAUUGCACUUUCAACCCUCCUCUCCUCGCGUGUUGAAAGUGAACAACACAAGAACUUUGCACAAAGCUCUCAUCAUCGUAUUGUGGAUGACAUCAUUUCCAAGUUUCCUUGUGACUUUGUAGAGUUAAGAGAGAAUACACCAAAAAUUAAGAGCGUGUUGAAAGUGAACAACACAAGAACUUUGCACAAAGCUCUCAUCAUCGUAUUGUGGAUGACAUCAUUUCCAAGUUUCCUUGUGACUUUGUAGAGUUAAGAGAGAAUACACCAAAAAUUAAGAGCGUGUUGAAAGUGAACAACACAAGAACUUUGCACAAAGCUCUCAUCAUCGUAUUGUGGAUGACAUCAUUUCCAAGUUUCCUUGUGACUUUGUAGAGUUAAGAGAGAAUACACCAAAAAUUAAGAGCGUGUUGAAAGUGAACAACACAAGAACUUUGCACAAAGCUCUCAUCAUCGUAUUGUGGAUGACAUCAUUUCCAAGUUUCCUUGUGACUUUGUAGAGUUAAGAGAGAAUACACCAAAAAUUAAGAGCGUGUUGAAAGUGAACAGCACAAGAACUUUGCACAAAGCUCUCAUCAUCGUAUUGUGGAUGACAUCAUUUCCAAGUUUCCUUGUGACUUUGUAGAGUUAAGAGAGAAUACACCAAAAAUUAAGAGCCACGUAGAUCUUCUUGGAGAAGCUGCACCUGCCACCCUGUUGGAUGAGUGCUGUCCACGGCGUACCUGCAACGGUGAUGGCGGCCAGGAUGCUGAAGCUG